CAGCCGCCGCGGUAAUACAGAGGGUGCGAGCGUUAAUCGGAUUUACUGGGCGUAAAGCGCGCGUAGGUGGUUUGGUAAGAUGGAUGUGAAAUCCCCGGGCUCAACCUGGGAACUGCAUCCAUAACUGCCUGACUAGAGUACGGUAGAGGGUGGUGGAAUUUCCUGUGUAGCGGUGAAAUGCGUAGAUAUAGGAAGGAACACCAGUGGCGAAGGCGACCACCUGGACUGAUACUGACACUGAGGUGCGAAAGCGUGGGGAGCAAACAGGAUUAGAUACCCGCGUAGUCCCUGUCUCUUAUAC
rnacentral:rRNA from 1 species